rnacentral:rRNA from 1 species
AGAGUUUGAUCAUGGCUCAGGACGAACGCUGGCGGCGUGCCUAACACAUGCAAGUCGAGCGGGGUCAAAGUUCAACACUGAGUAUUUGGGCAAAACGUUGGUUUAUAGAGCCAUCGUUAUGCAGAAACCACAUUAUAGAAUAGAUUGAAGUUUCUGCAUCAUGCUAUUUAGUGACUAACACAAGUCCAAGUAUUGAGUGUUGAACUUUGACCUAGCGGCGGACGGGUGAGUAACGCGUGAGCAACCUGCCUUGCACAGGGGGAUAACAUUCGGAAACGGAUGCUAAUACCGCAUAAGACCCCACUAUCGCAUGAUAGAGAGGUCAAAGGGAUUACCGGUGCAAGAUGGGCUCGCGUCCCAUUAGCUAGUUGGUAGGGUAGAGGCCUACCAAGGCGACGAUGGGUAGCCGACCUGAGAGGGUGAUCGGCCACACUGGGACUGAGACACGGCCCAGACUCCUACGGGAGGCAGCAGUGGGGAAUAUUGCGCAAUGGGGGGAACCCUGACGCAGCAACGCCGCGUGAGUGAAGAAGGUUUUCGGAUCGUAAAGCUCUGUCAUCGGGGACGAAGAAUGACGGUACCCGAAGAGGAAGCCCCGGCUAACUACGUGCCAGCAGCCGCGGUAAUACGUAGGGGGCGAGCGUUGUCCGGAAUUACUGGGCGUAAAGGGUGCGUAGGCGGCCUGAUAAGUCAGAUGUGAAAUACCAGGGCUUAACCCUGGGGGUGCAUUUGAAACUGUCGGGCUUGAGUGCAGGAGAGGAAAGCGGAAUUCCUAGUGUAGCGGUGAAAUGCGUAGAUAUUAGGAGGAACACCAGUGGCGAAGGCGGCUUUCUGGACUGUAACUGACGCUGAGGCACGAAAGCGUGGGUAGCGAACAGGAUUAGAUACCCUGGUAGUCCACGCCGUAAACGAUGGAUACUAGGUGUAGGGGGUUACUAGCCUUCUGUGCCGUAGUUAACGCAAUAAGUAUCCCGCCUGGGGAGUACGUGCGCAAGCACGAAACUCAAAUGAAUUGACGG